rnacentral:rRNA from 1 species
CCCAUUCCGAACACAGAAGUGAAAUGCAGUAACGCCGAUGGUAGUGCAACGUACGUUUGUGUGAGAGUAGGUCACCGCCAGGC